rnacentral:lncRNA from 1 species
AUGUCACUUUCCAAGAAGCCUGUUUCCCGGCCGGCCGACCUCGAAGGCCUCGCCACACUCGCUCACCAGACCGCGCUCACCGCUGCCUGGUAUUUUCUUGCUGAUCAGUUCACUAAUGGUCUGCUCCCUCCCCCAGAGCAGGGGCCUUGCCUGUCUUGUUCCCCGGGACAUUCGGGUGCCUGGAUCCUGGGCUCUGUAAGCGCCUGUGGACGGGACAUCGACUGCUACGGCCCGGGGAGGUUGGAGCCUCCAUCCCCACGGAGGAAACCGAGCCUGGAGAGGCUAAGGCCAGGCUCCUCCCGGGACACAUGGCAAGACCACGAGGGCACGUCGGUCCACCACGCUCCUGUCACCACUCCCUACGCCACUCAGGGUGACUGCCACCCCCAUGGCUCGGGCGUCACUUCAGGAGGGUGAGCAUCAGAGAUGGCGUGGAGCCUGCGGGGGACCGUGUGUCGGUCCCUUAGAUGCCACAGGGUUUUACGUAGGGCUGGGGCAUGGUGGGCUUUGGAACCUGCAGGGGACCAGGAACAGCCCCCUGGGAGACCCAAAUGACUGUCCCUCCUAAGGACAGUGUGCUCUGAAGCCAAGCCGCCAGUUUGAGUCCCACCUCUUUACUCCACAGCUGUGUGACACGCAGUUACUGUCCCCCAUGGGGACAAUGACGCACCCACCCCUAGGGUUGGAAGAAGGAUCAGUGAACCAGGACACGCCACGUGCCCACAG